GUUAGUGUGCUUUUCAGUUGCAUGUGAGAUAGUUGUAGCAUAGUAGGAAGACAUAUGACUUUGUUAUUGUUAUUUCAUAUGAAGUAUGGUUUAAGGAGAUAUGUAUAGAUGCCAAGUUAGCAAGAAUUGGACCGUGGUAUCUUGUCAACUUGACUAGGUUGAAUUACAUUUUUCAGAAUUCUAUUUCAUGUAAGUUUUCCAUUAGGGAGGGUCAGGAGAAAGACCUUCUUUUAAAAGACUAUGGGGCAGAAUGAUAUAUUUAAAUAUCUACAUGUAGGUAGAUAGGUAGAUAGAUAAACAUACAGACAGAAAUAUCUCUGUCUUUGUUCAGAUAGAAUAGAUAUCUGAACAGAGAUAGUUCAGAUAGUUCACAUAUCUGAACAGAGAUAGAGAUAUCUCUGAAUAUAUCCACAUAUAGAUAUAUUUAUAUCUAUCUUCCCUUUCUAACUACCAGAGCUAUGAACUCAAGAUUUAGUAUAAAUGUGAUGAAAACAGUCUUACAGAAACUGCCUAACCAGAUCAGCUCCACAAUUGUUCUAUACAGUCAAAUCCCUACAAUAAAUCAUUUUACAAAUCUUUCUUUUUUUGUAGAUUUUACAAAAUCGUACAACAAAUCUUUAGAUUUAUAGAUCCUACAACAAAUCCUUUUAGAUCUAUAGAUCUUGUAGUGGUUUUGCUUCUCUAAUUGAACCCUGAUAUAAUGUAUUCCAAAUGCGGAGCCAAUAGAAUUUGCUAACAUAUUGGAUUUAGGGUACAAGAGAAAGAAAGAGGUCAAAAAUGACUUCAAGGUGUCAUUUGGAAACCAGAAACUAGAAGACUGAGAAACCAGAGAGUGAGAGGGCUGAAAUUGAAUGGGUCUAAGGGAGAAAAUUAAAAAUGUGUAGCAAUGUUAUAUUUAAAAUACCUACUAGACAUCUAGAUGGGGGUGUCAGGUAAGCACCUGGGUUUACAAGUCUAGAGGCUUCAGUGAAGAGCACUUAACUAAAGAAAAAAUGGGAAGUCACCCCAAUAUCAUAGAUAAUGCUAAGGUUGUGGAAAUGGAUGUGGGCACCUAGGAAGUGAAUAUAGAAAAAGAAAGAAAAUAAUCUAAGAAUGAAAAAAUGAAAGAAGAAAAAGAAUUAGAAAAAUGAAUAGGAUUCAUCAGAGAUUAAGAAGGAGUAGCCAAUACGGUAGAUAAAACGGUACCUAGCUAUGUCAAAUGUUCCUGAUAGAUGAAGACUAAAAAUAUAACAUUGAAUUUAGCAAUGGAGAGGUCACUUCUGACUUUGAGUGGAACAACUUUAAGUAGAGUGAUGGAGGCGAAAGCUUAACUAGAGCUGACUCAUUAGAAAAUGAGAGGAGAGGAAAGUGGAGACUAAAAAUGCAGUCCACUUUUCUCAGAAAUUCUAGUGUCAAGAGUAGCAGGGAAACGGUAGAAGCUGGUGGGAGAUAUGGGAUAUAAAACACCUAUAUUUUUAGGUGGGAAAUGUUACAGUAUGUUUAUAUGCUGAUGUAUCAGGCCGUUCUUGCAUUGCUAUAAGGAAAUAACUGAGACAGGGUUAUUUAUAAGAAAAGGGGUUUAAUCAGCUUAUGGUUCUGCAGACUGUACAGGAAGCAUAGUACUGUCAUCUCCUAAGUUUCUAAGGAGGCCUCAGGAAGCUUACAAUCAUGGCAGAAGAUGAAGGGAGACCAGGCACAUCACACAGCAAAAGGAGGAGCAAGUGAGAGAGCCAGUGGGUCAAGAGAGGUGCCACACACUUUUAAAUGACCAGACCUCCUGAGAGUUCACUAUCACAAGAACAGCACAAAAAGGAUGGUGCUAAACCAUUCAUGAGAAAUCUGCCCCUGUGACCACCUCCGGCUGGCCCCACUUCCAACACUGGGGAUUACAAUUCAACAUGAAAUGUGGGCAGGGAUGAAUGUACAAAGUAUAUCAGCUGAUAUAAAUGAUUAAGUAGAUCAAUAAAAGAAAUUAAUGAUUGGGGAAAACUGCUAAAGCAAUGCCCUUGGAAAGAUGAAUGGGAUCUAGAGCACAAGUAGAUAGGUCUUGGAUUGGAAUGUAGGCUGUUUACGUGUAAAUGAAAGAAAGGCAGUUAUAUGAGUUUAGGUAUAGAUGGAUUAGUAGAUUUGGUAAUGGGAAUCUGUGGAAGUUCUUUGCUGAUUACUUCUAUUUUCUCAGUGAAGAAAGGAACAAGGUGUUCAGCUAAUAACGUGGUUUGGGAAGGGAGUUUGAAAAGAGAAGAUAAAGAAAUACUCAUCUAGGAGAGUAGGAGUGUGGAUGGACUAGAAAAAAGAAAAAGAAAUUCUUGGUCCCCAACAUGGAAAUCCAAGAUGCAAGGAAAUCAUAGGCUCUGAAUCACCUGGGGAAGAAACCGCUGCAGACCAAAUUGCAUCUUAGAUCCAUUAAAUCAGAAACUUGGAUUGCUGGAUUCAGGUACAAGUAUUUUUAAAGCUCCCUAAGUGAUUAUAAUGUAUAGCCAAAGUUGAGAACUACUGCUUUGGAGCCACUGGUCUAAUGGAACAAAUUGCAUUGAUUUACUUCCCUUAAUAUUACUAUGUAUAACUAACUAAAUAAGAUGUAUUAUUUUAUGUUUCUUCUUAAUAUUGGCAUAAACCAAUAAAUUAGUGUAUGUAUGUUUCAUUGUUAGAAGAAUAUAUGAAUAUUAUUUUUGUACCAGAUAUUCCAUCAGGAGCAGAAACGUUCACAGAAAAGGGGCACAAAUUUUAGGGGCAGAGUAAGAUGUGAACCAUACAAUCAGCUCUGAGCAUCCUCCUCUGCCCAUUUGCCUCAUAUGGUUUUAAGGAUGGUAAGUGCAGAUAAAGCUGUGAAUGAGAAGAGGAACAGAGCAGUCAUCAUGGAACAUGAGAGAGAAGCUAUGUAUUCAAGGCCCCAGAACCACAAGUAGAAGGAGCCUGGAUCCCAGAUAAUUUUGUGGGUCCCAUAGUCCUGAAUUGCCUGCCCAGGCUUUAACAUGAAAGAGAACAAUUUCUCUAUUUCAUUUAAACCACAGUUAUUACAGGGUCUCUUUCAACAGCCAAACCUAUUACCUAACUAACACAAGUCAUGACCAGGUAGUCUUGCUAACAGAAUAUCUCAUAUUCAAUUAAGUGUUUUAAAUAUAUACCAUUGUUACUGCACCUGAACAACCGAAAACUUCUGUGAGAAGACCAAAAAUCUAUACUUAGUAGAAAUUUUCCUUCUUAAUUUUAGCAUCUACAGAAAUGUGCCCCAUAUUUUGUCCUGUGAAUGACUUUCAAAAGUUCAGACUUGUGUAAUGCCCUAUAAGUUGAACCAAAUAUUAAUUUCUUUGCAAUAUAUAAAGAUUUUAUUUAACAUAGUGUAAUAUAAAGAUAAUAUAUGUCUAAUGUAGUAGAUGUCAAGUACAGUAUGUGUUUGGUAUUUAGACCUUAUAAAAAAAAUUUUUCUAGCUCUUGUCUACCAUGUAGGUAACAUAUUCCCAUUUUAUAAAUAAAGCAAUUCCAGAACAUGUUUCAAUUCUCUUAAUUCCAUGGUUUUUUCUAUAUUAUCUCAUGUUGCAGUUAAAUUUAAUUUCAAAUUUAUACUAUUUUAAAAUCAUUAUUGGUAUUUCUGCAAAUUGUAGUUAGUUUCCAUUUGAAAUUAUUUUCCUCACAAUUGUGCUUAUGCUGCAAUUCACAAUGAUGACACUGGAUGGCACCAAAUUUUACCUUUUAAAGUUGAUUUUCCAUUUAAACUAUGACUGGUGCACAGCAAAUAUUUAAGUUACAGAACUUACUCAAAAACUGAAUACUUUAAUCACAUAAAUACAAACCCUAAUUCCCAAGUCAAUGAUAAAAACCAACAUAAUUGCACCACAUGUUUGUAACUGAAGAAACAAAUUAUGUGCAUAAAUGAAGAUUACAAUUCUAAAGUGCUGACUGAAAGUGUAUUGUAUGUAAUAACAUCAAUGGGUGUUUAAACUUGAAAUUGUGUAAACCAAAGGAAAACUGUUCAAAUACAUGAGUCACAGCAAAUUCUAGGAAACUUGUAGUAUCAAGACAAAGAAAGUAAUGCAAAUAUGCUCCAGUCAUAAGAUUUCAGGUUGGAGAAUACCUAAAGCUUACUGCAACCAUCUAUUUUCUUGGACAAUCUACUCUGAGAGUUCACUCUGAUGUUUCAUGCCCUUGGUGAGUUUUCUAGUCUUGCCAUGGUCCAUAAUUUUCAUAUCAGUAUGGCCGUCACUUGAAGGUAAUAAGCCUUCAAGAUGCAGUUCCUGGAAGAUGAGUUCCUGGCUCAGGCUUCCUCUUUCCUCUUCCCUCUGAAGGGAAUUUAUACAUUGAAUCCCAAAUUGUAUAUGCUGGCUGAUUGUGCAUCAUAACCAGUCUUUGCACACACUACCACUCAAAAAUUAAGUGCACAAGAGAAGGAGGAAAACCAGAAGAGUAUAAUACAAUGGAAGGCAAGAUAAGAACCUUGUGAGACUACUACUUUCUUCCAAUUGAGCAGACCAUUAGCUGGGCGUUGUGGCGGAUGCCUGUAAUCUCAGCUACCGGGAGGCUGAGGCAGGAGAAUCGUUUGAGCCCUAGAGGUUGCAGUGAGCACGAGAUCAUGCCACAGCACGGCAGCCUGGGCAACAGAGCAAGACUUCGUCUUAAAAACAAACAAACAUAAAACAAGCAAUUAGACCAAAAAUAUUUGUAAUUGUCCUUGACUCCUCUGUUUUUCUCACAUUGCAGACCCAAUCCACUAGCAGAGCUCAUUGACUGUCUUCAAACAUGCACAGUACAGGUCACUUCACUCCACUUCCUCUACUAUAACUCCAGUCUAAGCCACAAUCACUUCUUGCCUUGGUUAUUUCAAUGGUGUCAUAACUGGUCUUGCUGCUACCACCUUGCUUCCCCCAACCACUGUCAACACAGCUACCACAGUGAUCCUGUUAAAUGUGAUGUAUCACUCUGUUGUUCAAAGUCCUUCAAUGGCUUUCUCAUCUUCAUUGGUUGGAAAAAAUAUGACUUUUUAGGUUAAAUCUUUAUAUUUCCUUAUGGCAAAAAUAUGCAUUGUCAUUGUAAUGAAAUCCAUCAUUUCUAAAAUGGAUAAUAUAGUGAAAUUCCCAGAUAACUUUCUCAUCCUAGUAAAUACUACUGUUGAUAGAUUGAUACGGAUACACAUUUUAUACAAAUGGGAUUGUAAUAUAAUAUUCUUCUGCAAAUUACUUUAUUGGCUUAACUUUAUAUCUUUGGACAUUGCUCUAUGCCACCAUAUAUAUAUAUAUAUAUAUAUAUAUAUAUAUAUAUAUAUACACACACACACACACACACACUUACCUCACUUUAUUAUCUGCAGCACAGUGGUUCAUUGAAUGGUUUUGCUGUGAUUUAAUUCACCAAUAUCCAAUAUAUGGACAUUGGAUUUAGUUUAGAAAGCUUUUUAACAACAGUACUGCAGUGAUCAUCACUGCAUAAGCAUUUUUUUAUACAUAUGAGUAUAUGUCUGUGGGUAAAGUCCUAGAAAUGAAA
rnacentral:lncRNA from 10 species